CUCGUUUGCACACGCGGAACGUACGACGAUCGCGACGAGAAGUGUCGUUUGGUUAUAUGCGUUUCUAUCUCCUCCUCCUUCACUGCCGCUACUUGUCCCUACGUGAGAGAGAAUCCCUUUACUUUUGCGACAAAUCAAGGAUAUUUCUUGUUCGCGUUUCUUCGACGUACGACGUCGAAAGAAAAGAAACGAAAAGAAAAGAAAAGAAAAGAAAAGAAAAGAAAAACAAAAUGAAAGAAAGAAAAGAAAAAAAGCAUUCGAAUGAAAGAACGAAAAAAACUUUCUCAGGAAUGUAACACAAAGAUUACUACUAUUCUAUGUAUGUAGACUUACAAGUAAGCAUUGGUAGAGAAGAAAACCGAUUGAGAGGAACGAAAGGAAACACGAAAGGAGAAAAAAAGAAGUCGAGGUUAAUCCUUUACUUCGAGGAACAGAAGGAGAUCGGCUGUUUGCAGACCUCGCAAGGCUUAAGGAAUUGCAAUGGCGGGUUAGGGAGCUUGGCUUGAGAGUCUGAGAGCAGCACCAGCACCAGCACCAGUAACCAGUAACCAGUACCAGUACCAGCAUCACCAUCACCAUCACCAUCACCACCAGUAGCAACAGCACCAAGCAAAGGAGGAGGGUGCGGCUGCCUCGAGCAUGAUCCCCUAAGCCAAGGCUAAGAGGCUAUUAGUUAGCUCUGCUAGCUGCGACAUAACCCCUAAGACUAACACAGUACUUACACUUCCUCCUUCUCUUGGAAUAUCCAACAAACCAUCGUUCCCCGAUGUUUGCUGUCGUAUGACGAAUUUCUGGAUCGAUCUUACGUUAAAUCUCGACUAUCAUUAUAAUGAUAAUGAUUAUGAUCAUGAUCAUGAGAUCAUGAUAGAUGAUCAUUUUGAGGGAUCAAAAUAGUUAUAUAUCAUCUUUUAGUUGUCACGAAGAAUACCAAAUGGAUCUUUUUUGUUUUAAAUAAGUAUAAUUAAAAAUAUAUCUGUAAUCAUGAUCAUGAUAAUGAUGACGACGACGACGACGAUAACGAUGAUCAUUGUUUAUAACAAAUCGUUAAUUAAUUAUUAAAUAUGACCAAAUAAUAAAUCUGGUUUUUAAUGAUGUUUAAAAUUAAUCGUUAAAUAGAAAAAUAAUUUUGUUUAUUAAUUAUCGAUUAAUUUGCGUUAUUUCAUAAGUGUCAG